rnacentral:tRNA from 1 species
GGGUCAUAGCUCAGCUGGGAGAGCGCCUGGUUCGCAAUCAGGAGGUCGCGGGUUCGAUCCCCGUUGACUCC